GGAGGAAAGCAGGGGAUCGCAAGACCUUGCGCUUUUGGGGUGGCCGAUGCCUGAUUAGCUAGUUGGUGGGGUAAUGGCCUACCAAGGCGACGAUCAGUAGCCGGUCUGAGAGGACGACCAGCCACACUGGGACUGAGACACGGCCCAGACUCCUACGGGAGGCAGCAGUGGGGAAUUUUGGACAAUGGGCGAAAGCCUGAUCCAGCAAUGCCGCGUGAGUGAAGAAGGCCUUCGGGUUGUAAAGCUCUUUCAGUCGAGAAGAAAAGGUUGUGACUAAUAAUCACAACUCAUGACGGUAUCGACAGAAGAAGCACCGGCUAACUACGUGCCAGCAGCCGCGGUAAUACGUAGGGUGCGAGCGUUAAUCGGAACUACUGGGCGUAAAGGGUGCGCAGGCGGCUUUGUAAGUCAGAUGUGAAAUCCCCGGGCUUAACCUGGGAAU
rnacentral:rRNA from 1 species